CCUGAGUACGACGGAGCACGUGAAAUUCCGUCGGAAUCUGGGAGGACCAUCUCCUAAGGCUAAAUACUCUCUAGUGACCGAUAGUGAACCAGUACCGUGAGGGAAAGGUGAAAAGUACCCCGGAAGGGGAGUGAAAGAGAACUUGAAACCGUGUGCUUACAAGUAGUCAGAGCCCGUUAAUGGGUGAUGGCGUGCCUUUUGUAGAAUGAACCGGCGAGUUACGAUCUGAUGCAAGGUUAAGCAGAAAAUGUGGAGCCGUAGCGAAAGCGAGUCUGAAUAGGGCGAAUGAGUAUUUGGUCGUAGACCCGAAACCAGGUGAUCUACCCUUGGUCAGGUUGAAGUUCAGGUAACACUGAAUGGAGGACCGAACCGACUUACGUUGAAAAGUGAGCGGAUGAACUGAGGGUAGCGGAGAAAUUCCAAUCGAACUUGGAGAUAGCUGGUUCUCUCCGAAAUAGCUUUAGGGCUAGCCUCAAGUGAUGAUUAUUGGAGGUAGAGCACUGUUUGGA
rnacentral:rRNA from 1 species